rnacentral:antisense_RNA from 1 species
CUUGAUCGACCCCAGCCACAGCGGCCGCCCGCGGUCCUUGCCGUACGUGGCGAGCAACGCCUGCGCCUC